rnacentral:rRNA from 1 species
CAUAGAGCGUUGGAACCACCUGAUCCCAUCCCGAACUCAGCAGUGAAACGAUGCAUCGCCGAUGGUAGUGUGGGGUUUCCCCAUGUGAGAGUAGGUC